rnacentral:rRNA from 1 species
AGUGAGGAAUAUUGCGCAAUGGACGAAAGUCUGACGCAGCAACGCCGCGUGGGCGAUGAAGGCCUUCGGGUCGUAAAGCCCUUUUCUGAGGGAAGAGAAAGGACGGUACCUCAGGAAUAAGUCUCGGCUAACUACGUGCCAGCAGCCGCGGUAAAACGUAGGAGGCGAGCGUUAUCCGGAUUUAUUGGGCGUAAAGCGCAUGCAGGUGGUUUCGUUAGUCGGAUGUGAAAGCCUCUGGCUCAACUGGAGGAGGUCGUUCGAUACUGCGAAACUAGAGGUUGGGAGAGGAAAGCGGAAUUCCCGGUGUAGUGGUGGAAUGCGUAGAUAUCGGGAGGAACACCAGUGGCGAAGGCGGCUUUCUGGCCCACACCUGACACUAAGAUGCGAAAGCGUGGGGAGCAAACGGGAUUAGAUACCCCGGUAGUCCACGCUGUAAACGAUGGGUACUGGGUAUUGGUGGUAUUGACCCCAUCAGUGCCGAAGCUAACGCGUUAAGUACCCCGCCUGGGGACUACGACCGCAAGGUUAAAACUCAAAGGAAUUGACGGGGCCCCGCACAAGCAGCGGAGCGUGUGGUUUAAUUCGACGCAACACGAAGAACCUUACCUGGGCUUGACAUGUUGGUAGUAGUGAAGCGAAAGUGGAACGAUCCUUCGGGAAGCCAUCACAGGUGCUGCAUGGCUGUCGUCAGCUCGUGCCGUGAGGUGUUGGGUUAAGUCCCGCAACGAGCGCAACCCUCGCUGUUAGUUACAAGUGUCUAACAGGACUGCCGGUAUCAAACCGGAGGAAGGUGGGGAUGACGUCAAGUCAGCAUGGCCCUUAUGUCCAGGGCUACACACACGCUACAAUGGUCGGUACAGAGGGUCGCCAAACCGCGAGGUGGAGCUAAUCUCACAAAACCGGCCUCAGUUCGGAUUGCAGGCUGCAACCCGCCUGCAUGAAGCUGGAGUUGCUAGUAAACGCCGGUCAGUUAUACGGCGUUGAAUAUGUUCCCGGGGCUUGUACACACCGCCCGUCACGUCAUGGGAGUCGGUAACACCUGAAGCCGGUGGGCUAACCGCAAGGAGGCAGCCGUCGAAGGUGGGACUGGUGACUGGGCCG